AAGCACUUGAGCCAUCUUCCACUGAUUUCCCAGGGCAUUAGUGGGGAGCUGAAUCAGAAGUGGAGCAGCCGGGACAGGAACCAGCGCCCAUAUGGGAUGCCGGCACUGCCACCAGAGGCUUAUCCCACUACACCACAGCACCAGCCCCAGGUCAUGGAUUCUUACACAAGAGAGUGGUCUUAGGCCUGAGACUGGACAAACUGGCCAAGAAGGGGUAUAAGAGAUGAGGAGAUGACCAGGUUUAGAACCUCAGGAGACACCAGAAUUUGCAAAUCAGGAGGAAGAGAAGCCGUGAAGAGGUGGUCCUGAGGCAGGAAACAGUGGAAAUCCUGCACCCAGGAGGCUGCUCGGGGGAACAGAGAGGCCGGCUAAGAGCAGCUCCGGGAAAGGUGAUGAACGCUGCCUGAGGACAGCACCGGAGGGCUCCGAGGCCAGAGCCGGCUCGCUGCAGGCGGGAGCUGAGCAAGUGCCCAGCGCAUCUCCUGCUGUAGCUCUGCAGCUGUCCUGGCGAGGGCUGAGCACGUGACCUCGUGACUCACCCACUCCUCACUCCUCUUGUUUGCCCUCAGCUUUGUUUGCUUAUUUGGGUGUUUCGGUUUUCUUCCCACUUACUUGCCUUUCAGGAUAAAACACCGACAAGUGUCCUGGGCUCUUUUUUUUUUCUUUUCUUUUCUUUUAGGCUCUAUAAGGAGUUGGCACAGGAGAUGGGGUUUGAAGAGUUCCAUUUGCACCUGAGGCCUGUUCCCUUUGAGUUUGCAUCACACAAGGAUGAGGUGGAUGGAUCACCGCCUGCCUUUGUAACUUCCCUGCUGGAGGACGCUGGCCAGCUGGACAGGUAUUCUCCUACUGCUCUCGUCUUAGCCAUCUCCGAAGUGGACGACAACCAAAUCGGCAAAUUUAGUUUUUAUACGAAGGAAGCCAUCCUUAAGCUCUUGUUCCAUUCUGGAGUGGAGAAUAUGCAGGUGACCCUGGCAUGCCAAGUUGCUCAGAAAAAUGCCCUGAUGGUGGCUGUCCGGCAGGCAUUCUUCUAUCACACUCCUCGAGGGCACUGUGCUGAGGCCAAGGCAGAUAUGGGGCCAGCGCUGUGGCAUAGUGGGUAAAACCACCACCUGCAGUGCCAGCAUCCCAUCUCCCAGCGUUGGAUCAGGCCAGCUCCAGCCAUUGCAACCAUUUGGGGAGUGAACCAGCAGAUGGAAGAUCUCUCUCUACCUCUGCCUCUGCCUCUGGCUCUCUCUAACUCAGCCUUUCAAAUAAAUAAAUAAAUCUUCAAAAAAAGUUGGCA
rnacentral:lncRNA from 1 species